GACGUAGGGCGCGAGCGUUGUCCGGAUUUAUUGGGCGUAAAGGGCUCGUAGGCGGUUUGUCGCGUCGGGAGUGAAAUCCACUGGCUUAACUGGUGGCUUGCUUUCGAUACGGGCAGACUAGAGUUCGGUAGGAGAGUCUGGAAUUCCUGGUGUAGCGGUGAAAUGCGCAGAUAUCAGGAGGAACACCGGUGGCGAAGGCGGGACUCUGGGCCGAUACUGACGCUGAGGAGCGAAAGCGUGGGGAGCAAACAGG
rnacentral:rRNA from 1 species